ACUGUACCGGAGUACACUAGCAAUUUUAAAGUUAUUUCCACCCCUUCAAUCAUAUAAAUAUUACUGCUGAAAACCUAUUGAAGUAUAUCCUUUUGUUUAAGGUCUCUUUAACAUUUGGAUAAUUAUUUAGUUUGGACUGUCCAGUAUGGAGAAAAAACAAAAUAAGCAAAAAGGCUGCUGUUAAACUCCAUGAAUUUAAAUAUAUUCAUAUUUACUGGACAAGCAAAACAGAAAAUUGUAUUUUCAGUUAAGGCACAUGUUCUGUUCCGCCUACACCCCCACAAGCAUAUGUGUUUAAUCAUGCUUUUUAUGCUAUUAUUCUCUUUUGUGCUGCAUUGUUUUUGAAGUUGGUUUGAAUAUAGAAUUGUUCACGCUGAUGUCAGUUUUCGUAUAGGUCACAAAUACACCAGUGAUACAAUAUGCAAGUACGUUAUGUUCACAAGGUUUUAUGCUGAUGAAGGAAAGCUUAUUUUCUGCUGCUGCUGUUAUGGAUGUGUUGUAUACACUAUUUGUUACAUUACAUGUUGAGAAAUAAAAUCUACUAUCUAAAA